rnacentral:ncRNA from 1 species
AUACCAGAAUGAGAAUGAGAGGAACCGCAGGUUCAGACAUUUGGUGUCUGUGUUUGGCCGAGAAGCCAAUGGUGUGAAGCUACCACCUGUGGGAUUAUGACUGAACGCCUCUACGCCAGAAUCCCC